rnacentral:rRNA from 1 species
UACGAAGGGGGCUAGCGUUGCUCGGAAUCACUGGGCGUAAAGGGUGCGUAGGCGGCUUCUUAAGUCAGGGGUGAAAUCCUGGAGCUCAACUCCAGAACUGCCUUUGAUACUGAGGAGCUUGAGUCCGGGAGAGGUGAGUGGAACUGCGAGUGUAGAGGUGAAAUUCGUAGAUAUUCGCAAGAACACCAGUGGCGAAGGCGGCUCACUGGCCCGGUACUGACGCUGAGGUGCGAAAGCGUGGGGAGCAAACAGG